UACGUAGGGCGCAAGCGUUGUCCGGAAUUAUUGGGCGUAAAGAGCUCGUAGGCGGUCUGUUACGUCUGCUGUGAAAACCCGAGGCUCAACCUCGGGCCUGCAGCCGAUACGGGCAGACUAGAGUUCGGCAGGGGAGACUGGAAUUCCUGGUGUAGCGGUGAAAUGCGCAGAUAUCAGGAGGAACACCGGUGGCGAAGGCGGGUCUCUGGGCCGAUACUGACGCUGAGGAGCGAAAGCGUGGGGAGCGAACAGG
rnacentral:rRNA from 1 species